rnacentral:rRNA from 1 species
AUACGGAGGAUCCGAGCGUUAUCCGGAUUUACUGGGUUUAAAGGGUGCGUAGGCGGGCGCCUAAGUCAGCGGUGAAAUGCAGCGGCUCAACCGUUGAACUGCCGUUGAAACUGGGCGCCUUGGAUGCGGUCGAGGCCGGCGGAAUGCGUGGUGUAGCGGUGAAAUGCUUAGAUAUCACGAAGAACUCCAAUUGCGAAGGCAGCUUACCGGGGUACAACUGACGCUGAGGCACGAAAGUGUGGGUAUC